AGUGAAGAGGUGCCAGAAUCCGCGAAGAGGGUCGACGAAUGCGCUGCCGCGGAGGUGGGCCAAAUAAUCAUGGCAACAGGACUUUUAGAAGCACGUCCUCUGAAAGCCAUUUUCUGCCUGUGGUUGGAAAGGGACUGUGAGUCUUUCCUCAGGAAGUCAGUAGCCCUACCUGGUGAGGUGAUCAAGAGUUUGCUAGCACAAGAGAUGAAGGUUUAAGACCUGUGACACAGACUGAAGCUCUCCUGGCAUACUCUGAAGCUCUCCUGGCACCCUCCCCUUUAUGCUUCACAGGUGUUUCUCCUAAUAAAUUUCUUGUAUGUCUCAUCCCAUCUGGG
rnacentral:lncRNA from 10 species